rnacentral:rRNA from 1 species
UACAGAGGUCUCAAGCGUUGUUCGGAUUCAUUGGGCGUAAAGGGUGCGUAGGUGGCGCUGUAAGUCGGGUGUGAAAUUUCGGAGCUUAACUCCGAAACUGCAUUCGAUACUGCGGUGCUUGAGGACUGGAGAGGAGACUGGAAUUCAUGGUGUAGCAGUGAAAUGCGUAGAGAUCAUGAGGAAGACCAGUGGCGAAGGCGGGUCUCUGGGACAGUUCCUGACACUGAGGCACGAAGGCCAGGGGAGCAAACGGG